rnacentral:rRNA from 1 species
UACGUAGGGUGCAAGCGUUAAUCGGAAUUACUGGGCGUAAAGCGAGCGCAGACGGUUAUUUAAGCCAGAUGUGAAAUCCCCGAGCUUAACUUGGGACGUGCAUUUGGAACUGGAUAGCUAGAGUGUGUCAGAGGGAGGUAGAAUUCCACGUGUAGCAGUGAAAUGCGUAGAGAUGUGGAGGAAUACCGAUGGCGAAGGCAGCCUCCUGGGAUAACACUGACGUUCAUGCUCGAAAGCGUGGGUAGCAAACAGG